AAGCGCAUCAUCUGGGCUUGACCUUUAGUCUAUGUUAAUUCUGUUUCCGCAAACUACAAAGACAUCCCAGUUCCUGACGACUCAACUCAUCACGAUUCUGCCCUGCAGUGACAUCACAGAGACAGGAACUGAGAGGAAACUGCUGAAUCCAGUGCAGCUCUGGAAAUUCCCAGGGGCAGGAUGUGGAGGAUGAAGAAAUGAAGACAGAAGUCAGAAUGUAGAAAGCUGAGGUGCCAUCGGCGGCCUCUGGUGCGAACACUGUUGAUGUCUGAGCGAAGGUUUACCCUUGACAUAGUCAGCAGGUGACUGAAGAUGUGCAUGCAAACAAAUACGUACCACACAGGGAGAGGGGGUCCUCCUCCUGCGCCUGAGUCACCCUCCGCCUUCCUGACCACCCUGGCCCCUGCCCUGACGGCCCCCUUCUCCCGAGCUCUGCUAGCGGAGGUUUCACAAAGCCCGGACCUCAGGGACUUUCACCUCUGCUGUCACAGGCACUCACUGGGCCACUCUCUGCAGCUGGUAAUUUCUUGUAACUGUGUCCCCUAAAGCCUCCAUGCAGACGCUGAUCCCACCACGAUCACCUGCCUUUCAAAUGCGCCCGCUUAGCUCCUCCCUAAGUGAAGCAAUGUCACCUCCAGCAGCUCCGGGCCUCCACCCCUCUGCUCCGCCUGAGCUGUGACCGUUAUCUUCCUUGCCUGCCACCUUCUCCUGCCUGGAGUUCCCCUGGAGUCUGACAAUGCCAGACGUCAUGAGGAGGAUAUGAAGGACACGGCUCACACACUGUUGGUGGCCUCUGGAUUGCCAGGUAUGACGUCAGGUCCACAGUGGGCGUGUGACCCCUCCCAGGGGGACUCUGAAGCAAGUGUGGCAAGGUCCAGGCCACUGUUUGUGACAGAAA
rnacentral:lncRNA from 1 species